CAUGGCAAGGCACCGGACGUGCAGGGCUUCGCUCCCUGCCGACGUUAAGGUGAAACCUGCAGGCACCAGUGCGGGCCCAUGACACAGGCCGCGCCAGCAGCACCUGGGACAGGACUGCUUAGUGUAUGAGCGCGCGCCUAUGGUAGAGGCCACGCCAGCAGCGCCUGGGACAGGACUGCUUAGUGUAUGAGCGCGCGCCUAUGGUACAGGCCGUGCCAGCAGCGCCUGGGACAGGACUGCUCAGUGUGUCAGUGUGGGCCUAUAGUACAGGCCGCGCCAACAACGCCUGGGACAGGACUGCUUAGUGUGUGAACGCACCAACCGUAUUGGCGCACGGAGGCUGUGAGGAUUUAAAUCUCCAGCAUCCUAGCUUGACACGAGGCAGCAAAGUCCAAAGAAUCGUCGUUUCCUCCGUCUUACGAGUGGAUAUGGAGUCAGAUUAAGGAGACUGCUAUCAUCUGUACAAGAAAUAUGAAAAAUAUAAUAUCCUCACAUAUUGAUUUAAUUGAUUAAAACACAUU